rnacentral:misc_RNA from 1 species
CUCUGUCAUAUGUACAUAUAUAAUGAAGAGGAUAGAGGUAUAUUAUAUUGUUGAGCAGUAAAAUUAGCCAUGGAAACUAAAGGUCCUUUCAUACUCCUCUGCCUCCUAGCUACGUCCUGCAGCUUGGUAACUUGCAGCUAUGGUGCAAAACCUAACCGUUUGAUGCCUUUUAAUCGAAGCAGUUUUCCUGAAGAUUUCAUAUUUGGAGCUGGGUCUUCUGCUUACCAAACAGAAGGAGCAGCACUUAUAGAUGGCAAGGGGCCAAGUAUAUGGGAUAUUUUUGUUAAGGAACAUCCAGAAAAAAUUGUGGAUCGGAGCACUGGAGACGUAGCUGAUGAUUUUUAUCACCAUUACAAGGAAGACAUAAAAUUGAUGAAAAAGAUUGGUUUGGACUCCUUCAGAUUUUCCAUCUCUUGGAGCAGAGUAUUACCAAAAGGGAAAAUUAGUGGGGGAGUGAACCCACUUGGUGUUAAAUUCUACAAUGACCUCAUCAACUUGCUUCUAGCCAAUGGUAUAAAGCCCUUUGUAACUUUAUUCCAUUUCGAUACCCCACAAGCUCUUGAAGAUGACUAUGAAGGAUUUCUAAGCCCCAAGAUUUUGUAUGACUAUCUAGAUUAUGCGGACUUCUGCUUCAAAACAUUUGGUGAUCGAGUAAAAUUCUGGGUGACUUUUAAUCAACCAAAUAUAUUUGCCACUAAUGCAUACAACAGUGGUACCUUUGCACCUGGUCGAUGCUCCAAAUAUGCUGGAAAUUGCACUGCAGGAAACUCUGCCACUGAACCUUACAUUGCCGUCCACCACCAACUUCUUUGUCAUGCAGCUGCAGUGAAAUUGUACAGGGAGAGAUACAAGGCUGUUCAAAAGGGACAAAUUGGGAUUACAACCGUAACCCACUGGUUUACACCCAAAUACAAUACAACUUCCAGCAAAAGGGCUGCUUAUAGGGGUUUAGAUUUCUUCUUUGGAUGGGUUGCAGAUCCAAUUACAUUUGGUGACUAUCCCCAGAGCAUGAAGGAAUUUGCUGGAAAUAGACUGCCCAAAUUCACCAAAGAGCAAUCCAAUAUGCUAAAAGGGUCUUAUGAUUUUCUUGGCCUAAAUUACUACACCACAUUUUAUGCAGAAAGUGCUCAUUUGACUAACAGAGUCAAUCUUAGUUAUGUUGAUGACAGGCACCUCAAAAUGACUUGUAUGCUCCAAAUUCUAACCAAUUUCCUCUUAUCUUUCUUAGUUCAAUAAUAUUAGAGUUGUAUUCAUGACUAUAAAAUCUCCAAUUCGAAUUUAUGUCAGGUCAAAUAUACCAAAAACAUAUUUUCUUUAUAAUUAAUUCACAUUGUGAUUAAUUAAAAUAUGUUUUGCAUUUUUUUUUUCUCACAGCUGAAAAGCAUGGCAAGCCCAUUGGCACACCGACUGCUUUGGACUGGCUUUACAUUUAUCCCAAGGGAUUGCAAGAGCUUCUAGUCUAUAUAAAGGAAAAUUACAACGAUCCAAUUAUUUCUAUUAAUGAGAAUGGUAAAACAAAUUUUCUAUUUUAAGAAAUCUAGAUAAUUAGCACAAAAAUAUACAUUUAAUUAUAGCUAUUUUAUUCAGGAAUGCCUGAUAGUGACUCCUUGCUACUCAAAGUUGCCCUUAAGGAUGGCAUGAGAAUAAGAUACCAUAGUAGCCACCUAUCCUCUAUUUUAAAGGCUAUCAAGUGAGUAUUUUCAAUGAUUAAUUUAAUCUAACAUAAUUGAUUAAGGAUAUUUGAUGAAGAAAAUUAAUGAUUAUAAUGGAAUUUGGCAGGGUGGGUGUCAAAGUGAAGGCAUACUAUGUGUGGGCAUUUCAUGAUAAUUUUGAAUGGGGUCAUGGUUACACUGUCCGAUUUGGCAUCGUUUAUGUUGAUUAUAAGAAUAAUCAGAAACGUUAUCUCAAAUACUCUGCUUAUUGGUUUAAAAAAUUCCUCCUAAAUUAACAUUUAACCUAGCUAAUCCUAUGACUAAGCUGCAACUAAAUAAAUAGAAAAUCA